rnacentral:rRNA from 1 species
UUUUUGAAAAUAAUUUAAAGUCUAAUCUGCCCACUGAUAAAUAUAUUAAAGGGCUGCAGUAUUUUGACUGUACAAAGGUAGCAUAAUCAUUAGUCUCUUAAUUGGUGACUUGUUUGAAAGAUUGGAUGAAAUAUAAACUGUCUCUAAUUAAUUUAUAAAAUUUAAUUUUUUAGUAAAAAAGCUAAAAUAAUUUUAAAAGACGAGAAGACCCUAUAGAGUUUUAUAAUUUGUUUAAUUAUUAUUAAUAUGUAAAUUUUAAAAUUAAAAUUAAAUAAAUUAUUUUGUUGGGGUGACAGAAAAAUUAAAUUAACUUUUUUAGAUAAUUAACAUUAAUUUAUGAAUAAAUGAUCCAUUAAUAUUGAUUAAAAGAAAAAAUUACCUUAGGGAUAACAGCGUAAUUUUUUUUUUUAGUUCAAAUAGGAAAAAAAGUUUGCGACCUCGAUGUUGGAUUAAAAUAAAAUUUAAAUG